rfam:Salmo salar isolate Sally breed double haploid chromosome ssa05, whole genome shotgun sequence.
UGUGUUCACUACUGUAAGUUGCUCUGGAUAAGAGUGUCUGCUAAAUGACUAAAA